UACGUAGGGUCCGAGCGUUGUCCGGAAUUACUGGGCGUAAAGAGCUCGUAGGUGGUUUGUCGCGUUGUUCGUGAAAACUCACAGCUCAACUGUGGGCGUGCGGGCGAUACGGGCAGACUUGAGUACUGCAGGGGAGACUGGAAUUCCUGGUGUAGCGGUGGAAUGCGCAGAUAUCAGGAGGAACACCGGUGGCGAAGGCGGUUCUCUGGGCAGUAACUGACGCUGAGGAGCGAAAGCGUGGGGAGCGAACAGG
rnacentral:rRNA from 1 species